UACGGGGGGGGCAAGCGUUGUUCGGAAUUACUGGGCGUAAAGGGCCCGUAGGCGGCCAACUAAGUCAGACGUGAAAUCCCCAGGCUCAACCUGGGAACUGCGUCUGAUACUGGAUGGCUUGAAUCCGGGAGAGGGAUGCAGAAUUCCAGGUGUAGCGGUGAAAUGCGUAGAUAUCGUAAGGAAGGCCGGUGGCGAAAGCGAGCCUCUGGACAGUUACUGACGCUGAUGCACGAAGGCCAGGGGAGCAAACGGG
rnacentral:rRNA from 1 species